AACGCACAUUGCGCCCCCUGGUAUUCCGGGGGGCAUGCCUGUCCGAGCGUCAUUGCUGUCCGUCAAGCGCGGCUUGUGUGUUGGGCCGCUGUCCCCCCACCGCGGGGGACGGGCCCGAAAGGCAGCGGCGGCACCGCGUCCGGUUCUCGAGCGUAUGGGGCUCUGUCACCCGCUCUGGAGGCCUGACCGGCGCCCGCCGACCUCCCAACCUUUGUAACCAGGUUGACCUCGGAUCAGGUAGGGAUACCCGCUGAACUUAA
rnacentral:misc_RNA from 1 species